CUAAGGAUCGGAACGAAAGCGCCAGACCUAGAGUUUGGAAGAGCUUCGCUCCUUUCGGAUAGAACAUGCCGUCGUCCUCAUGUCCCUUCAUCUCUGGAAAAUCAGCGCGAGGCUGGCCGGGCAAUUGCCUGGCGCUUUGCGUUGCACGCCUGAGCUGGCCCACGCCGCCCGCGGCAGCCGAUCGCAAGAUUGGUCGCUAGCAGGGCAAGACUGGGCCGGUAGCUCAGGUGGUUAGAGCGCACGCCUGAUAAGCGUGAGGUCGUAGGUUCAACUCCUACUCGGCCCACCAGUCUUCACAUUGGUAGGGGGCCUUAGCUCAGCUGGGAGAGCGGUUGCUUUGCAAGCAUCAGGUCAUCGGUUCGAUCCCGAUAGGCUCCACCAAGUCGCAGUUUGGAAGACGAAUUAGCCACGCUAAUUCGCAUCCAGACAAGACCGGCCAGCGUGGAAGAGCCAGGCCAUAAGGCGUGGCUUUGCCACGUCUGACGGCAUGGCGGACAGCGCUACCAUCGACAUCCAGAGGUGAAGACAUCUAGUUUCCGCUCUCGGCUUUGCCGGCGAGUGGUCACGCGGCAUCUGGCCGCAAAUCUUUGACAUUGUGAAUGGGUUUUUUAAUCGAUACCGUGGCGCAUCGGUGUUUGGUCGACGUGGCCAAAUACCAAUGAUGCGUUACUACAGAUGAUUAUCUGGCUGAGCAAAUCGUCCAUACUUACGAUACAGCGACUGACUUUAUGCAGGUCUGUCGUUGAUGGUGUGGAUUCUCAAGCGUGAGGUAAGAGCAUUU
rnacentral:tRNA from 1 species